AUGUAGAUGUAAUCAGCAAUAACCUCUUCUGACGGCUUCUGAAAUUAUCCCCGUAAAACAACCAACAAUAACGUUCCCGUAUUUUAGAAACAACUGUGUAAUAAUUAUCUGCCAUGCUUAACUUUUGCAAAAUACUAGCAUUGAUGCAUUCAACAAGUUAUCAAUUACUUAUCAAGUAAAAAUUGUGUGCUUUUGGAACUAAUAUAUUUGACCAGUCUGCAAUCGACAUCUGGUUGGCGCCACCAUUGUCCCUGUAACCAUCCAGUAAACAUCCACUGAUACUUGCGACCAAACAGACCCUGUCGAUACGCCUGUAAAUAUAAAUGAUAUGUGUAAUACUGUAAUGAAAUGAUGAUGAUCAUCAUUAUAAUGGUACUAAGAUGAUUGAAAGCAACUAUUAGUGACCCGGUGAAUUGACAUAAUCACUUGCGGAGAAAUAAAUCUAUGUAUAAAAAAAAUAGGUACAGGUAUACAGUAAUCAAUUGGUUUAACUAUCUGUGUUUUCAGUUCAAUACAAUAAUGAGAAGUUUUUAAGAAACCAGAACAUGGGUGGUUUUGGAGGGGCUAAACAGGCUUUGGGUCCCUACAAUGUUUCCUCCUUGCAUGUUUUUAUUAAAUAAUAGCCAAAUGCAUGGGCUUAAAUUAAAUCUUUAAUCUUUUUACCUUACUGUUUUAUUAUUAGGCCUACAUAUGAUUUUAUUUGGUAGGUAAUAUUUUAAGUAAAACUAAAGUCUUAACUCAAGAAACAACACUUAACAUUUUACUCAAAAUUUAUAUAAUUGUCAUUUCACUUCACUGUUUUAUCAGUGAUUUGUAGUACUGUAGUUAGGUAGAGUUUAAUUAGUAAUUAGUAAAUGAUCUUGUUUAUAUUUUUUUUAUUUAUCUGACUGCAUAUGAAGCUCACAAG